UACAGAGGGUGCAAGCGUUAAUCGGAAUUAUUGGGCGUAAAGGGUGCGUAGGUGGUUUAAUAAGUUAGAUGUGAAAUUCCUGGGCUUAACCUGGGGACUGCGUCUAAUACUGUUAGGCUAGAGUACUGUAGAGGGGAGUGGAAUUUCCGGUGUAGCGGUGAAAUGCGUAGAUAUCGGAAGGAACAUCAGUGGCGAAGGCGACUCUCUGGACAGAUACUGACACUGAGGCACGAAAGCGUGGGGAGCAAACAGG
rnacentral:rRNA from 1 species